rnacentral:antisense_RNA from 1 species
GACUAGAGCAAACAUCAGACCAGAUCCCGUCUGAAAACCAAAUGGCCACAAAGAAGGGUGCUGAGGCCGGGGCUGUUUGAAUGCAGAGGACACGUUUGACGAUGGCACUGCCAGGAGACGGGACCGCGAGUGUGGGGCUGUGGGCUCAGACACCCUCCCCCAGGAGACGCAUGCUCGAGGCAGCACUUGGGUGUGAGGCAUCACGGCCGACCCGCACAGGGCCCGGAGAGGACGCAGUGCUCCUUGUGUGACUCACAACUUUCCUGAAGAGACCAGCGUCUUGAGCCCAGACCAGCUCCACACCCCACCCAGAGGCAGGAGGUCCUGAGACCAGCCCCAUGGCCUGGCCUCAGCCCACCCCCCAUGGGUGGCAGGUGCUCACCUGGCCGGAGGAGCGGUACGCACGGAGCUUGCGCAGAGAGGCCGUGGCGUAGCACAGCAGCAGGAGGACGCCGGGGCUGGCAUACGCAGGCCAGUCCAGGCUGGUGUUGAGGACCAGCGCAUGGGGGCUGGAGCAGUUGGUGGGACCCACGAAGUCCUUGAGACCCAGCACCCUGUCCAGAGAAGACCCGUCACAGCCUACCACCCCAGAGGCAGUGGGGCCACAGGGGCUAGACGAGCCAGGUGGGCGGGACCAGGGCGGGAGGAAAAAGGGGCUGUGUGGCAAGCCGUUACCUAGCCCAGAUGCCGGCAGGCGGGAGCAGAGCCUGUGCCAAGGGCAUCUGGUAGCAGUAGAGGCAGAUGAGAUGGCCGGCGCCGAAGCACCCCACCGCGACGCAGAGUCUGCUGAAGCCCCGAGUGCUGAUGGGAAAGUGGCAGGCCCACCAGGUGCAGGUGGCCAGGAAGAGCAGCAGUCAUCAGGGAACUCCAAGACCCCUCCCAGUGUGACUGCCAGUGCCCCCUGCCUCGGUGCGUACCUGCCAGUGCAAGCAGCGUUACGGCCAGGACCCGCCCAGCCGCCACCAGCAGCCAGUGGGCUGUGACUCGGAAACGAGCGGCCAGCCGUGACCUCCGUGUAGGGGCCAGCGUUGCUGCUUCCUGCAGCCCUGCCGUGGGGCUGGCAUCCACAUCCCUCUCGUCAUCAUCCUGCCAAGGUCACGGACAGGGGCAAGGUCAGGUGUAUCCCACUGAGGCCACCUCUCCAGCCCACACCUGCCCAGCCAGGAGCGUGGGAGGCGGCCACAUCCACAGCUGCUCCUCUGAGGGCCACAGGACAGCCUCCCUGGGCACAGGCCCCAGCCGUCCCUGAGGUCUGCCUGACACCUUCCUACUUCCUCACUCAAGCUCACAGUUCCUGCAGGCCUUCCUGGUAGCAGCUCCCACCCUGGCCGAAGACCCAGGGUCUGUCCUGCCAAGCCCAGGCACGUGAUGACCUUGCCAGGUAUAGACAGACCACAGACUGUCCUAUAGCACCUCAUCUCCCCGAACCACACACCCAGGGAGCAGCGGGGCCCUGUCUAUACCCCGGGGGGUCUCUAGAGACCAAGGGGGCCUGAGGGACAUGGCCAGGCUCCAGGGUCUCCUGUGUACCCCUGCCA